GAUCAUGGCUCAGGAUGAACGCUAGCGGCAGGCCUAAUACAUGCAAGUCGAACGGUGUCUUCGGACAUAGUGGCGCACGGGUGCGUAACACGUAUGCAACCUACCUUACAUUGGGGGAUAGCCCGAGGAAACUCGGAUUAAUACCGCAUACCACUGAGGGUUGGCAUCAAUUUUCAGUGAAAGAUUUAUCGGAUACAGAUGGGCAUGCGCAGGAUUAGCUAGUUGGUGUGGUAACGGCACACCAAGGCGACGAUCCUUAGGGGCUCUGAGAGGAGUAACCCCCACACUGGCACUGAGAUACGGGCCAGACUCCUACGGGAGGCAGCAGUAGGGAAUAUUGGGCAAUGGAGGCAACUCUGACCCAGCCAUGCCGCGUGCAGGAAGACGGCCCUCUGGGUUGUAAACUGCUUUUAAGUAGGAGGAAAGUGCAGCUUGCGAGCUGUUUUGACGUUACUACUAGAAUAAGCCACGGCUAACUACGUG
rnacentral:rRNA from 1 species